ACAAUGCGAUAGUAUGUACAGCUUCUUCCUCCUGGGAAAAGGCGUGCAUGGAGACCUAUCCCCGCUGGACUGAUUUCCUGCAAUUCCCCCCCCCCUUCCCCCCACCACCUACCCCAUAGCCACAACUUGAACUCCUGGUGCCCAAAGACGGGAGCGAAGGAGACACCUCCCCACCCUACCCCGCCCUGGUCCUUCGAGGGGCGAGAAACUUCCCUUGGCUUUCCCAAAACUCACUGAGAGAGGCCAGAACACGCCGAUCCAAGAACAUUGGAGCAGUCUUGCUGGUUCAUGCGGGAAGUCGAUAUUAACAUCCAGACUGGAAGAAGAGAUGCGGAGCCGAGAUUUAAAGCCUGCAGAGGGUGCGGCUGCUGCGCUCGCUCUCCUCGUUCGGAUUCUGAAGCCAACGUCUGGGCGAUUCCCAGUGCCAGCUUGCACCUUGUGUGAGAUAGCCUGUCCGCCUCCUCCCAGUGACAAGAGCCAAGCAAGAGAAACAAAGGUUUAUCUGUGAAGGGGAUCUACAGAACCGGCAGAGGAAAUCAUUUUUCAUUCUUGUUGUAGGGAACGGACAAGAUCUGAAACUGAAGACCAGUGAAAUCUUUCUUGUGUAUGGAUCUGACAAACAGAAAUCAAGAUUAGGGUUUGUUCCGUUGAUACUGUAAUGCUAACUUAAAAAAAAAUAGAAAAGAAAUUAUUUCCAAUUGCACUAAUCCCUUUAGCCUAGUAUGACUGUCAUGCUUGCAUUUGAAUGGAUUCCCUGGUGAAGUCUAAGGCAAAGGAAAUUGUCAGUGAGAAGCUGACACUAUUUAAUCCACUGUAUUCUUAAUGGAUGCUGGAAAUUAUUAGCGUAUGCUGUCUUUUGAAGUUUUCGUGUUAAUAUUAUUGGGAAACCUUUGAAAGCAUUCAUCUUCUUAUCGAGUCAAUGGUAGGGAAAUAUGCACAUGUGCAGCAGCACACACAGCGGAUAGUCUAUGCAGCUCUGUGACCUCUUCAUGAACUUUGCAGAGGAGGCAAAGAUCAUUGGAGAAGGCAAAGGUCAGUGUUCAUGCUGAUCACCAACAAAAAUCAAAUUGAGCCAUUCAGCCAAGGAUAGUUAUGAGACCUUCUGUUAUUUCGACAAAACGCCACUAGCAUUUCCUAUUUACCUAGUAAGGACGUUGCAUUUUGGUCUGUGUCUCUCAAAAGCCAUGCAUUUCUGCAAGAAUCCCGUGGAAAUAGUCUGCAAGGAUAUAAUUAAAAGGGUGAAAUGAAUGUGAUGCAUUAUAUCGGCUUGCAUCUAGUGACACAUGUAUUAAAAUAAGACCCCCGUGCUGCUGUGAAUAUCUAAACAGAAUGGAAAUUCAAAAUAAACAUUUUCUUAACAGAUGCUGCAAAAAAAUAUGUUAAUUUGCUUCACAAUGACUCAUAUGAUGAAUUCAGUGGGCUUAGAAGAGUAUAACUCUUCUGUCAGUAUAUAGGUUAUGUGUAUGAAGAUAAAAGCAUGUCAGGAUGGUAAAGAGAAAAGAAUUAAAGGCUAUUAUGCCAUUAGCUGAAAUACUUUGAUUUCCAAUUUAAAACAUUUGUAUGUAAAUAGUGACCACAUCGUAGAGAUGUUCAAUGUAUUGUUGAAGGCUUUCACGACUGGAAUCACUGAGUUGCUGUGUGGUUUCCUGGCUGUAUA